rnacentral:lncRNA from 10 species
CUUGCUCAGGGCCGGCUGCUUUAAAACGCCACCCAGUAGAGGACAGUUCACUCCACAUCAUCCUCUCUCAACCUCACCUCAUGUAUUAAGAGCAUCCAUAUCAGGAUGGGAGGCCAAGUAUAUGAGUAACAAACAGAGUCAGGAGACUGCUGAAUGGCAACCACGAUGAAGAACCCACAGGAAAAAAGAAGAUGAAGCAAUGAGAUAAAGAAAUGGAGCCCUCGAGAAGUUAAGCAGUUUGCCCAAGAUCAUACAGCUGCAAUUUGUAUUGCAACAAAAUUUGUGACCUGCCUAAAUUUUCACCAUCAUUCAUAUUUCUGUCACACUCUGGAUCCUCCAUCUACCAAAAAUGAAUAUAGUGACAUGGCCACGCACCUGAGGAAUCCUUUUACUUCCCACAGGAGGAAGAGAAUUCCUCAAAUCCCACAAAGGCAACUCUUCUUCCUGAAGACAGCAGCUUUGCCAGUAAUGAGGGCAACAUUCCCAAUACAGGGUCUCAUUCUGUCACCCAGGCUGGAGUGCAAUGGCGAGAUCUCGGCUCACAGCUCACUGCAGCCUCUGCCUCCUGGGUUCAAGCAAUUCUCCUGCCUCAGCCUUCCGAGUAGCUGGAACUACAGGUGCCCAUGAUGACGCCAGGCUAAUUUUUGUAAUUUUUUGACUCCUCAUUCUUGAACAUGGUUAUAGUAUGCUAAGUUGGCAAGCACAUUGAAAACUUCUCAUCUUUGGUUCCUGACUUUUGUUGUCCCUGCUGAGAAGUUAGCUGGGUUUUUGUUUUUUUUGAAAAUAAGCUGUUUUUCAUUCUCUGUGGCUGCUUUUAAGAUUUUCUUAUUGCUUUUAGUGUUACUUUUUACUGUGAGGUGUCUGGACCUAGAUUUCUUUUUAUUUAUCUUAUGUCAAAUUUAUAGGACUUUUUUUUUUUUGAGACAGAGUCUUGCUCUGUCUCCCAGGCUGGAGUGCAGUGGCCCGAUCUUGGCUCACUACAACCUCUGCCUCCCGGGUUCAAGCGAUUCCCCUGCCUCAGCCUCCCGAGUAGCUGGGACUACAGGUGUCUGCCACCACUCCUG